rnacentral:rRNA from 1 species
AAUCUUCCGCAAUGGACGCAAGCCUGCCGGAGCAACGCCGCGUGAGUGAUGAAGGUUUUCGGAUCGUAAAACUCGGUUGUUAGAGAAGAACACGUACCGUUUGAAUAAGGCGGUACCGUGACGGUACCUAACGAGAAAGCCCCGGCUAACCACGUGCCAGCAGCCGCGGUAAUACGUAGGGGGCAAGCGUCGUCCGGAAUUAUUGGGCGUAAAGCGCGCGACGGCGUUCUUUUAAGUCUGAUGUGAAAGCCCACGGCUCAACCGUGGAGGGUCAUUGGAAACUGGGAGACUUGAGUGUAGGAGAGGAAAGUGGAAUUCCACGUGUAGCGGUGAAAUGCGUAGAGAUGUGGAGGAACACCAGUGGCGAAGGCGACUUUCUGGCCUACAACUGACGCUGAGGCGCGAAAGCGUGGGUAGCGAACA